rnacentral:snoRNA from 1 species
AAAUGAAGGAAGCAUGGUUAUGUGCAAUCAUUGAGUCGACAUGUCUGCUCCCUCUAAUGAUUUGGGGGCCUGGUUUAGACUCACAUCU